rnacentral:rRNA from 1 species
UGGUGAUUAUGGUGGAAGUGUAAUACCCGUUCCCAUUCCGAACACGGAAGUCAAGCCUUCUAACGCCGAUGAUACUGCUCCCCUGAGGAGUGGGAAAGUAGGAAGUCGCCA